GGGCGGCGCACGCGCGCUGCUCCGCGCCCGGGACGACGACGAGCGGUGAGCGCGCAAAAUGGCGACGCGGCCGCUCAGUCAAUGGGGCUUGGACCGGUGCCAAAAACACCCAAUCUCUGGCUCUUCCUGCGGCGGAAAGAGUUAUUACUGAAAAUGUCCAAAAUCAGGCAAAACUUUGAAAUAAAAACGAUUGUCUUUCGCUGAUGACGUCACAGCGGAUCUGCGUACCUGCCGUCUUCCACACGCUUGGAAUUUUGGAUGAGCUGAAGUUAAUGGAAGGUGGAUUAUGAAGGGACAGCCAGAACUGACAAUGGAGUCCGCUUCUAGUUGGCAGGACCUCGCUCGAAGGCUCAUCCGUCGGUAGGACCGGUAACCCGCCCAAAGGCUUAUCGGACGGCGUAACCGGGAGGGAGGGAGCUGGAGAAGUCGGACCCGAGGAGCGAGGGCCGGUAGGUGGGUGAUGGGUGAAUUCUAGGUAAUGCCUCCAACGCCUUCAGGUCAUCUGCAGGAGGAGGCCCCGGGACACAGUGAUGGCUAGGAGAGGAAUGUUGGUUCGUGGGAACUGCUCCAGUCCAUCGAGUGCUUGGGCCAAUCGGACUUUGGACUUUAAAUAA